rnacentral:rRNA from 1 species
AACCUGCCCUUCAGAGGGGGACAACAGUUGGAAACGACUGCUAAUACCGCAUACGAUCUAACCUUGGCAUCGAGGAUGGAUGAAAGGUGGCCUCUAUUUAUAAGCUAUCACUGAAGGAGGGGAUUGCGUCUGAUUAGCUAGUUGGAGGGGUAACGGCCCACCAAGGCGAUGAUCGGUAGCCGGUCUGAGAGGAUGAACGGCCACAUUGGGACUGAGACACGGCCCAGACUCCUACGGGAGGCAGCAUG